UUUGAAUUUUAUGAAAAGAUUCGGUAAAGAAUCCCUGUGUCUGUCUUUCAGAAAUUACUUUAAGAUUACAAAAAAGUUUCCAAUAAAGAUGGGAAGUUCUCUACAUUCCAUGUUUUCUGGUCUUUUAAAUAUAAAGAAAGCUUCGAAACAUAAAAC